rnacentral:lncRNA from 1 species
GAGACUGCAGCUCCUGAAGAUGGGAACUCCAGUGGCGGAUGGGGGGCGGCUGUGAAGACUACACCAACUGAUGGCUGGGGGGCGGCUGUGAAGAGUACACCAACUGAUAGCAGUGGCAGCUGGGGGGCGGCUGUGAAGACGACACCUACGACUGAAGGUAGCUGGGGGGCGGCUGUGAAGACUACACCUACGACUGAAGGUAGUUGGGGGGCGGCUGUGAAGGCCACACCAGCAACUGAAGGAUCUGGAUCGGGGUGGGGCAAAAAAGCGGAAGAACCUGCAUGGGGCGGGAAGAAACCGGAUUCAGACACUGGGGCAGGAUCAGGAUCAGUUCCAUGGGGUAAAAGAGAGGAAACUGCUUGGGGUAAGAAAGUUAACAGCGGGGAUUCAGCUGCUGCCUGGGGUAAAAAAGAUGACACUGGGGACUCAGCUCCAUGGAGCAAAAAAGCUGACACUGGGGGUUCAACUCCAGCUCCAUGGGGUAAAAAAGCCGACACUGCAGCUCCAGCUCCAUGGGGGAAAAAAGAUGACACCGGGGGCUCAGGCUCAGCUCCAUGGGGUAAAAAAGCCGACACUGGGGUUUCAACUCCAGCUCCAGCUCCAUGGGGCAAAAAAGAUGACACCGGAUCAGCUCCAUGGGGUAAAAAAGCUGACACUAGGGGUUCAGGUUCAGCUCCAUGGGGCAAAAAAGAUGACACUGGAUCAGUUCCAUGGGGUAAAAAAGAUGACACCGGAUCAGCUCCAUGGGGCAAAAAAGAUGACACCGGAUCAACUCCAUGGGGUAAAAAAGAUGACACUGGAUCUGCUCCCGCUCCAUGGGGAAGAAAGGAUGUUAAAGCUGACGAGCCCAGUCAAGUGGAAGAGUCUCAGUGGGGUAAAAUAGAGUCGUCUGGUUCCUGGGGCAAAUCAGUACAAAAACCUGAUUCCGUUCCGA